GAUGAACGCUAGCGGCAGGCUUAAUACAUGCAAGUCGAGGGGCAGCAGCUCUGUAGCAAUACAGAGGCUGGCGACCGGCAAACGGGUGCGGAACACGUACGCAACUUACCCAUAACUGGUGAAUAGCCCUCCGAAAGGAGGAUUAAUACAUCGUAACAUAAUGAGAUGGCAUCAUUUUAUUAUUAUAGCUCUCGGGCGGUUGUGGAUGGGCGUGCGGCUGAUUAGGUAGUUGGCGGAGUAAUAGCCCACCAAGCCAACGAUCAGUAACUGGUGUGAGAGCACGACCAGUCACACGGGCACUGAGACACGGGCCCGACUCCUACGGGAGGCAGCAGUAAGGAAUAUUGGUCAAUGGACGCAAGUCUGAACCAGCCAUGCCGCGUGAAGGAUGAAGGUCCUCUGGAUUGUAAACUUCUUUUAUAUGGGACGAAACCCUGUUUUCUAACGGGACUGACGGUACCAUACGAAUAAGCACCGGCUAACUCCGUGCCA
rnacentral:rRNA from 1 species